CCUACGGGAGGCAGCAGUGAGGAAUAUUGGUCAAUGGACGAAAGUCUGAACCAGCCAAGUCGCGUGAAGGAUGACUGCCCUAUGGUUUGUAAACUUCUUUUAUGUGGGAAUAAAAUGUUCCACGUGUGGGAUUUUGUAUGUACCAUAUGAAUAAGGAUCGGCUAACUCCGUUCCAGCAGCCGCGGUAAUACGGAGGAUCCGAGCGUUAUCCGGAUUUAUUGGGUUUAAAGGGAGCGUAGGUGGAUUGUUAAGUCAGUUGUGAAAGUUUGCGGCUCAACCGUAAAACUGCAGUUGAAACUGGCAGUCUUGAGUACAGUAGAGGUGGGUGGAAUUCGUGGUGUAGCGGUGAAAUGCUUAGAUAUCACGAAGAAUUCCGAUUGCGAAGGCAGUUCACUGGACUGCAACUGACACUGAGGCUCGAAAGUGUGGGUAUCAAACAGGAUUAGAUACCCCUGUAGUC
rnacentral:rRNA from 1 species